GAGCCACCGCCGACCAACGGCAGCACGGAAAUACUUGUCCUCAAAAUGAAUAGAGGGUCCUCAGGUUAUGAUUACUGUGAGUUGGCUGGGCUUGCAUACAAAUAAAGUAGAUUCCAGCACUAGAGCCACACAGCUCCUCCAGCACACAUACUACAUACAUAUACAAGAUACAACCCUCAUAUGCUUCAGAUUACACUACGGAAUAGAUCGAUCGAUCGAUCGAGUUCGGCACGGAACCAAGAUGAAGAUCCGCCAACCCGUUCAAAACCAAGUCCACCACCAGGGAAGGGAAGGGGGCUGCCACCAAAACAGACGGGCAAAUUCUCUGGUCAGGCCCGCCUCAGCUAUUAACUCACACUGAAUUAUCGACACAACAGGUGUCACAAGGGAAUCGGAAUUGAAUCGAUUCAACUGAAUCCAAGGAAACAUGCAGAGUUAACCGACACCGAAUUGUCGAUGACGCGAGGAUGAAGUGCUGCUAGUAGGUACCUUGAUCUUCCCUGCGGACAGAAGCUAACUCCGGCAAAACAUCAAGUGCUGCAGCAAACUGAAAAGAGAUACAGUUAGCACAGACGGCGCGCUGACAAGCCUUCCUGCAUAACAGACCGUGCGAUAUGUGCAUAAAUAUAGGCUGGCUGCACGCGCCUUUGCAACCCCAGCAAUAACCAUGCUGUUUUCAUUCCAAUACUCUGCAUUUAUACGUUUGCCCGCCUGUUACUGGUUCUGAACCAGACCGCGGUGUGCGGCGGAUCUGGUUCGAGGCCGCCAGCAGGAGCGGAGUUUUUGUGUUUCCAGAAACAGCAAGGCACUCUCGUUAUCAAGAGCACCACGGCAAUAAAACUCUUCCUUUUCCCCCCAAAAGGAGAGGAGAAAAAAUAAACUUGCGUGCGCCCAUGCUGGAAACAUGGCAUUUCUUUGGCCUCAUGUGCACAGGAUAGGAGGCUAAGGUUGAUGAUGAUUCCUUUGAGCAUAA
rnacentral:lncRNA from 1 species